AUAUACACUCACUGCUAGAGCAGAAUCAUUUGUCAUCUGUUGCAGACAGGCAGUGGUGAUCGUUCUUAGCAAAUUGAGUUGCGGUUCUUUCCGUAGCUAAGGCUUCUAAGCACACACUGAUUUGCAAAAUAUGCUCUGUAAAUUCUAAAAUGCGACCAACUAAAAACAAACCCUUUGCCAACUUCUAGGUCAAAGGUUAAGUUUGAACAUCAUGAUUCCUUUUAAAUGGCAAAUGAUAUUCGCGUACGAUCUUACAACUGUAACUCCCUAUUAAUUGUUCCCAACUCGGCAUUUUCAUCAAAGGGCAUGAAGGGUGUCCAAGGUUGACAGGUUGGAAUCUUUGAAUGGCAGGGUGCUGCGCCCUUCCAUUCAUGCCAAGCUGGAGCACUGGUUUUGAUGGUGUUUCACUUGUAACACACCAAGCAGUAUGACCCAUUAUAUUUAUCAACAUGGCUAAAAUGAGGCCAAAAUAAUUGUUAAAUGCCCUUUGUUUAUUUCCAAAGACAUGGAUGGAUCAUCUUUGUCUCUGAAUAUAUUAUAAAUACUCGUGUUGUUGAUUUUGUCCUGUUUGCUUAUUGCAGGAAAACUGUUAACGCAUUAUGUUGUGAAGACUCCUCUGUAAUCAGACAGCUAGCAGUAUUAUGAUUAUCAAAUAUUAAAAUUUGACUUAACAAUAUAGCGCUUCAAAUUAUAUAAGACUUUAUUUUUGUUUCAGAUAUUUUCCAGUUUCCCCUCACAACAAUUUGCAUCAAACCUCUUGUCUGAGAAAUCACCCACAGCAUUGGCCAAAUCACUGCGGAAAUCCGGACUUCUUCAUGCACGUUUUUGACCUAACAACAAUCACUGCGAAAUAGCGCAGACCGUGUUUGACUUACGCUGGCCGCAUACGCAUUAAGACCUAUUUUCGCAAGACGCGACUAUAAGUGUGAUUUGGUUGUGUUGAAAGAACACUGUGCAUGUAUGAACUAUUUACAUCUCAUUGCGAUGGCGAUAUAAUAAAUUCAUAAUAAGCCUUGUGAGGCCACAUAUGA